GGGGUGGGACACAUUUCAAGGGAGUGUAUGCAGCGCAGGACAGGGGGCCAGCCUUCUGCUACAAGUGCAUCUGUUCAGGAAAACUAGGUUCCUCGGUUGCCAAGAGCCGGGCAAUUCGAGGUGAGGCUAAAGGCUCUGAGACUCUUAGCCGUGAGAGGUUUAUGGAGAGGGCUGUGGGUAAAUGUAGGGAAGUUGCAGUCAAGAUUGGUGAGGUACCAGUUAGAUGCCUGUUGGAUACAGGAAGCCAGGUUAGCACCAUUUCUGAGUCUUUCUUCAAACAGCAGCUGUUAGGUCGUGAGGAGGAUGUAUUUCCCGCAGCCAAGUGGUUAAAACUAACCGCAGCAAAUUCUUUGCCAAUCCCCUACAUUGGGUAUGUUGAACUUGACAUGGAAGCUAUGGGGCUGAACAUACCAGAGUGCGGGUUCCUAAUUGUCAAAGAUCAUAUCCAAGAGGAGGCGGGAGGUGAGGGCAAAGAGUUAAACCAGUCACGGACACAGAGUCAUCAGGAAGCAGCGCAGGGUCUCAUUGGGAUGAACAUAAUCAAGAGGUGCAAGCAGUUGGUUACAGCGGAGUUUGACACAACUCUUAAGUGGGAGCUGGAUCCAGAUUGGGGGGAAGUGUUUCAACGAGUACAGACAUGUGAGGUGUUAGAAAAGACAACCACAGCGAGGCUUGCAAGCAGACAUGUAGUCCGAGUACCUGCUAGUUCUGUUGCCACAGUUUAUGCAAAGGGCCUUCAACCCACGUCUGAUGAUAGCACCUCUCUGUUGGUGGAGCCAGCUAAGACCCCAUUGCCAGGUGGUAUUGCGGUUCUUCCGACAUUAGUAAAGGCCACUAAACCUUUGUUCCCUAUACAGGUAGUUAACUUUUCUCAGGAGGAUGUGUGGUUGCGUCCCCGGACCAGGUUAGGAAUUUUAUCUCAGGUGGAGUGUGUUGACAACGAUCAGACCGAGGUAUGUUUCCAGCGUAUAUCAGCUGACCAGGAAGAAGUUACGGUAGGCCAGCAAGGAAGGCAGACAUCAGACCUUGACUUUCAGGAAGUGCUAAACAAACUGCACCUAGGAGGCACCGAAGAGGAGCAAGCUAAGUUAGCUGCGCUUUUAGCUCAGUAUGCUAAUGUGUUUGCUCUCCAGGAUGAGG
rnacentral:lncRNA from 1 species